rnacentral:tRNA from 1 species
CAGCGAGCUGGACGAGGGGGCGUCCGUCGCCGCGUUCGCGGUCGGCGCCGGCGGGGCGCUGCGUCCCCUCGGGUCGCGGCCGGUGCCCGCCGGCC